GAAUAUUGGACAAUGGGGGGAACCCUGAUCCAGCCAUGCCGCGUGUGUGAAGAAGGCCUUUUGGUUGUAAAGCACUGUAAGCGAGGAGGAGGGUACUUUGAUUAAUAAACUAGGAUAGGUGACGUUAGUCGCAGAAUAAGCACCGGCUAACUCCGUGCCAGCAGCCGCGGUAAUACAGAGUGUGCAAGCGUUAAUCGGAUUUACUGGGCGUAAAGCGCUCGUAGGUGGCUAAUUAAGUCAAAUGUGAAAUCCCCGGGCUUAACUUGGGAAUUGCAUUCGAUACUGGUUGGCUAGAGGUUGGGAGAGGAUGGUAGAAUUCCAGGUGUAGCGGUGAAAUGCGUAGAGAUCUGGGGGAAUACCGAUGGCGAAGGCAGCCAUCUGGCCUAAUACUGACACUGAGGUGCGAAAGCAUGGGGAGCAAACA
rnacentral:rRNA from 1 species